AAAACAGCUGGGGCCAUGGACACAGCUCCCCCCACCUCUCUCCCCCAAACAGGCACUUUUACUUCUCUAGAAAUGUGUUCUAUCUGUAGCAAAUUUGAUAUUUUCAUCAACGCAGACGACGAUAGGCAACAGCUGGUAUGCUGUGGGUGUCUUGGAAGUCUGCUGAGGUUUAACUAUAACUCUCCCAGGAAUUUAUUUGUUUUUAAUUCACCUAGAAAUCUGAGGUUGCUUAACACAUGAAAUGGCAUUAAAGUGGUUAAUGCUUACAAACUCCUGAGUAGUAUUUAGAAAGGAAGUAUGGUCUCUUGCCCACCCAUUAACCUCUGUUAUUAUGAGGAUUUUGUACCAGCAGCAGUAAAAUUCACCUCCCUGCUGUAUGUGCUCUUAUAUCGAAGAUCAAAGUCCUGUAGUUUGCAAAAACAUGGAAAGUAUAGCAUAAUUAAGUCUAUUUGUUUAGUUAGUGCUCAGCAUUUAAUGAAUAACAAAUUUCUGCUUGUCCACAAAGGGUAUGCAUGAAACUGCCAAAUGAAUGAAUGUGCAGGGAUUUCUUGUUUUAGGUUUUACAGCCAUUAUUGUACUGAUACUUCAUUUCUCCUGAGUGAGUACAAAGUUAAAAGAAUGUGGCUCACCAAAUGAGUGCCUCAUAACUUUGAUCAUAGGCAGUGCAGUAAAAAUGGUGGGAUUCUACAGAAAUCCAGUGCUUUACAUAGCUAUGAAAAUAAGUUGCGCCAGUCAUUUCUUUCAAUUUACACUACAUUAAACCGUGUUAAAAGAAACUUGGGUCCGUCUCUAAGCGGCUUUCUAGCUUUACUAUAUAUCAGGAUACCAGGAAGGCUGUCUAUAGUAAACCAUGCACACAUUUUGUUGGAGAUCUUGGCACUGGGAGGAAGGUAGAAAUCUCAUCAUAAAAGCUACCUUAGUUUUCAAUGUGACAGCCCUUAUGCUGCUGUAUGAGCUGUAGGCCAGAGCACAGUCCCUGCUGGAUCUCCUUUCUCACAGAGCUCCACACGAUCUUUGCUGAGAAACAUUUGUGGUCACCCUUCAGCUGGCCACUGACAGUGGCUCCAGUUGGAAAACCUGGAAAUAAAUUCUGAAAACAUUUAGUCCAUUUAGUAGAAUGGACUAAAGCUGUGUUUUCACUUUGAGAUUUUUAUUUUCCGUGCAUUCUAAGCCAACUGUUGAACAGGACAGCACGCCAUGUCCUGCCUGCAAGGGAUGUAGCGGGGCUGGGACAGGGUUAACAUGGAGAAAUGACAUUAAAAAUUAAAAAUUAACUGUGAUUUUUCUCUAUCAAAAAUGACAAUAUAAUCUUCAAAGUAUUUUAUUUUUUAUUCCUUAUUAUUUAUUUAUUUAUUUGUUUAUUUUCCCAGGAGGGUGGGUGAUUUCCCCUAGCAUCUGAAAGGCAAUAGCAUUUCAGCAUUUCACUAUGCUUUUCAUCAUCUUUCUCAGCCAAAGAACAGACAGAAUUGUCCCACGAAUUUUACCAUUUAACUUUUCAGAUUUCCCAUCCACCAACACAAUGACACCUUGUCUUGACAAGGGAUAUUUCCACAGACUACAGUUCAGAUUGCUGUAACAUUCUGAACAUGUCAGUAACAAAUGUCCGAGGCUGUGAGUUUUGCAACUGGUUUCACUUCAGUUGUAGCUUGCAUUUUACUUGAUAUUGUCCCUUUGAGAUAACAGCAGUUUCACAGAAGGUGUAAAAUGUGGGCAGAUAUCCUAUGGGAUCAUUAUAAACUAGCAUGAGAACGCUUGUAACAGUAGGAGCAGUGGGCUGGCUGUGUUCCAGCUUGGCUAACUAUAUCUUGUAUUUCUAAAUUCAGGUUUAUUUGGAAGCUUGAUCCAAAAUCUCUCAAAAUAGCUGUUCUCCCGUUGCCACUAGUCCCAGACUCUGCUGCUAGGUGAAACUCUGUCCAUGUCCCGUGCUAUCCUGAAUGAAGAAAUAACUUCUGUUUGAAAUGGUGUAGACCUCACAUAAGGUUGGCAGAUAAGUGGCCAACAGAAUGCGUGAAACCCUUCUGCCUAAAAUACCACCAAUGCAGUUGCAGAAAUAUACUGUAAAAUUAAUUCUGUUACUUAACACUUACUUUUUCUCUUCUGUACAUACUUGUCCAAACCAUGAAAAAGAAAUUGAUACCAGUAUAAAUGUAAAUCAAAGCAAGGGGCAAAAAUGUGAUCACUGACCUGCCCUGCUGAUAGGGGAAAAUGUCACGAAUAAAAUCACACCAUUAUCUGAUUUGAUUGUCAGGAUGUCAAAACCAUAUAUUCAGACAACAAUAAAUGGUAUAGCAAACAAUGAGUUAAAAUUCAAAUGCAAAAGAAAUCUGCAAGCACGGGACUUUCUGUUUCAUGCUUGCUACAUUGUCUGGAAGUUAUGUUUUGCAGAAAAUCUGGAAAAAGAAUCUAAAUAUUAAAAAUGUGCACUUGUGCAUAUAAUUAGCACAUGUUAAGCUACAGCUUCUGCACAAUUUCAGAUUUAGAGUUGUGGUUUCUUGUUUCCAGCUCUAUCUAGAGCUAUCAUCUGCCCAUUUUUAUCAGAUUACUGGUACAGUAAAGAGCUGAAGGUCACAUCUUAUCAGAUGAUCACACAGUAUAAGAUGAUUCUCAGCUACAGAAAGAGGGUGAAGCAGUUGCUCUUUAGCAGACGCCAUGCUAUAGGAAUUAUGUCACCUCCAUAGUUAUAAAACAACUCAAGAAAAUCUAUUGCAACAGCGUGAUACAUGCUUGGAUUGAUUACCCACAAAAAUCCUUUCAAGAGGAAAAAUGGGGUGGUGUUGUGGGGUGGAGAGAUAAAGAAAUUCUAUCCAAGCUUCACACCCUACAAGUUUAGUGUCUGUGGAGAAAAGUCUCUCGUUCAGUUGUUACAUACAGUGGUCACUGCAUUUGUGUAUUCAUUAUGUGCAUUAAACAGUCAAAUAUAUUCCUUCCAGUAAAUAUGAAUAGUUUAAUUUGUUCUGCUGAAAGAGAGACAACUAUCAGAAAUAGCAAUAAAAGUCACAUAAUGAAAUAAGAAUACUAGAAAAUCUGAGGAUUUUAGUACGGUCCAUUAUUCAUUCAAUUCCUGGCAGCCUUUAUGAUUACAAAUCACUUGAUUGACUAACUAGACAUUCUCAAAGUGAAUUAUGAAUCAGGUUCAUUUUUCCUGGUUGAGAGUUGGUACAUGUUGUAACUCUUCCACUUUGUGAUAUAUCAAGUUCUUGUAACAGUAAUAAGAGAUAUAAUCAACUCUUUAUUUCAGGACAAAUAAAUUGCCUUUUCAAAAAUGAAAUGUGGUUGCUAACAUUUUAACAGAGCGCAAUGUAAUUCCUGCCUGCUAUUUUCAGAGUGCAAUCUGCUGUGAUGACAUAGCUUCUGAGUGUUUGACUUUGCUGAAAUUAUUGUCAGGGUCUUGCACCCUCCGUCAGCACAUGAUGACCUCUGCAUGAGCUUGGGCUGUGGCUUGGAGCAGAAAAUGGUCCUCAUCCUGGCAGAAAACAAGUCACAGGCACCUAUGCAGCAGACCACAAUUUGCCCUUUUUGUGCCUGACUCUGAUCUGGGCUUGGGAAUGUGGACGAGUUUUAAAGCUGUUUAAGUUUACUUUGAAAAAAGUAAAAUGAAUCUCUUCUAAAGUGUGCUUGACCCUUGAGUCCUUCUUCAUGAAAAACUCCCCCAGGCUUUUGUGGAAAUUAUGCGAGUGGAAUGACUGGCAGGCUGGGGUGGGAGUUAUUUGUAGAACAAAUGCACAAUCAGAUCCCAAAUCCCUCUAGAAUAGGUUUAGUGCGAGGUGCAUUUCACCUUCGAAUGGCUACUGGGAAUCAAAAUAAAAAAUAAAGUAAAAGAAGACUAGACCGAGGCUGCUUGAAAUCUUUGCAAGUGUCCAAGCUGAAAAGCACUACAGAAAGCCAUUAUGCUUUGCAUCUGCUUGUCAGAUGUAGCCACAACUGCUCGCUUGGCAUUCCUGAGUGUGAUGGCUGAGCUUACGCCCUGGCCAGUGGAGAUGGGAAGCAGGGGGAAGAAUGGUAUGGGGAUGGGAUGGCUGUGGGGCUGAGGGUGUCCUCUGUACCCGCAGCACAUCUCUUCACAUGGGACUCUGCAUGAAAGCCUCCACACAGAGGGUUUACAGAGGGUUCUUCUGGUUAGAGAGAUGAUUCCAGAAUUUGGGUGCUUGUUUUGGCUCUACCGAAGAGACAGGCUGAUACUCAGCAGGUCCACAGUAUUUAUAGAGCAAUUUCAAAGACUUUAAUCCCCUCCUCUUCCCCUCGCAAGCACAAAAGCAUGUUUCUAAAGCAGGAUCUUGUGGGAGAAAAAAGUAUUACCAUAUUAUUUUUCGGAAGACCUUAAUGUGGUCAUUCAUUUUAGAAACAAUGGGUAAAGACGUCAGAUUUAUUCCUUAUUCAUCUUUCUAUCUCAGCUCUAAUCUUCUAAUAGCCUUAAUUAAAUGCUGAGUAGUUUAGAAUAUUAUUAAAUAGCUUUCAUAGGAUUUUUUUUUUAUUUCUGAUUACAUCAUGAGUACAGAUUAUUUAAUAUUCCAUUCAUUUAAAAAUUAUGAUUAAGAGGAUAAUCCCAAAAAGAUGUUUGUAACAAUUUUAACUAAGCUGUAUUAAUUGAGUUAGGGGAUAAGAAAUGAGAUUUAAAGGGUGAACAAGGGGUAAAAUCAAAGCCUGCACAGUUUUAAAAUCAAGUGGAUUAAGAGAUUGGUCAGAAUGGAGAAGGUGGCAGGUCAAAAACUGAACUGGUUCAAAUAGAAAAUUCACUUAAUUUUGGGCCAUGUGUCUGUCUUUCAUGGAAAUCAUGUGCAACAGCACCCGGUGUAAUAUGGCUAAACAUGAAAGGGAAUGAGUGCUUGUUAUGGGUCAACAGACUGCACAUUGCUCAUUGUCAGGCUAAGGUGCGCAACAUCAAGGAACCUAAAAAAGCCCGCUCAAGUGUUACCAUCUGGGACAGCGUUGUGUCCCCAGAUGUGCCAAAGCACACCAACCAGAUGAAUCUCCAGCAUGCCCAUGUUGCACAGCUUGGAAUCUUUUGCUGAAGUGAUGUGUUGAGUGACCCUGAGAUGCCAAUGGUUUCAAUGCAUUUGGGUUAGGACGCUGAGCGUGGGGUCUUUCAGCCUUCAUUCCCAUUCCCUCCAUUUGUAACUCACUAAUUGCAUCACAGGCAGAAUUUUGCUGGGUUAUUUCUCUUAGGAUUAAAUGUUUGCUUAGGAUUCAUUCAGUGCAGCUUUUUUGGUGGCCACUCUUUUUUUAGGGGUCAUCUCCCUAUUCCUUGCUGCACAGAGGUCUUUACAUGAGAUGUACCAUCUCACCACCUCCUGUAACGGGAACAUAGCUCUAAUGUAUAUGGAAGCCAGGGAAGAUAUUUUUACUUGUGUUCCUUAAUCUCUGCAUGAGUAAUUGAAGGCAUUCACAUAUUGGAGGAACUUCUGUAGUCACUGGUAAUUAUGGAAAUGACAGCACCCUUUACAGUUCUCCCAUGGGGACAUGAGAACAAACCAGUGCCUGUAAAACUGAGCCUUGGAGGAAAGACAUGAACGAAAAUGAAACAAAAUGCAGAGUUCAGGUUCUCAGGAGUGGAUGAGUGAGGCAGGGUACCUUUAUUUUAAAGAUGGACAAAGAGAGCAUAACCCACAGCACUACUGUCAGAGACCAUGUGUGCAUCAUUUGCUCAAGUUCUCUACAGUUACACAAGUGUCCUUUAAGAACUGAAGCAGUCUAGAUGUCAGCCUUAGGAAGAGAAAUGUGAAUCAGACCAUGAUGCUGGGAGGAAAGUACAUGUUUCAUAUUUCUUUUGAGCAUUUACUUGUUCCAGAAGUUUUCCAUGGGUUCAGGGUACAAACAGGGAUCUUCAGUAUCACACAUUCAAAUGAGGCUGUGGAGAGGCUGGGAGAAAGCAGCACUUGCACCCAGUAGAGAAAAACAGAAAUUGAAUUUGCAUGUUGCCAAGAAGAGUAAAAUACUGUGAUGAGUGAUGGAAGCAUUAGUUCUGCAGGUUCAUUUAUAUAGGCUGGGAUUUAAUCUGUUUAGAUCUUUUUCUUCCAAGCUUAACAGCUUUAAUUAUUUUUACGAAGAAAAAAAUCAAUACGUCCUUACACACUAUUAAUAAAAAAAUCGAGUACCAUUGAUAUUUGAAAACAGAAAUCAUAAAGAACAUAUUGCAUUCACACCAACUACAUACCAAACAGAAUGUUAAUAACAUUAACCUUUACUCUAUCAGAUAUUUUCAAGAAAUACCGCUGUAUUUUUGCAACGGCUCAUAUCUGUCAUUUAACUGACAUGUGAUCUUUGCUAAGUUUGCCAAAUCACUGAGGCCUGAAUACCAUUCAGCAAUGUUAAUUUUGUUUUCCUAUUCCACCCUUUACACAAUUAUUCUCAUGGCAAUCAUUCUAGCCUUGAGUAUAAAUAAUACUUCAAGUGGUUUGUUGAUAUCCAGAAAAUGAUGUGUAUCUACAUUAAGAGAUUCUGGAAUCUAAUGGGAGAACCAUGCAUAUUAUUAAGCUGAAAUGCCUAUUUCUUUCCUCCCAGAUGGGAAGUAGUACAGGAUACUGCCAUGGCAUAUGCAUUAAUUUUAUUCCUUCCACAAAUUUUAGCACAUAUUAUUUUUGCAGAUUUUGAGUCUUUGCCUCCUACCAAAUAUCCAGGAGAUUUAAACAGGAUUUUGCUGCAGAAGGGAUCUCAGUCUUAGCACAUAGGACCUUGGAUAAUUCUCAGGUGAGCUGAGGAAGAGGAGGGUGGAGAAGUUCUCUUCUGGGGAAUAAGGACAGAAAUGGAAGUUUGGUAGGAGUAGUCCUCGAGGAUUAACAGACUCAAAAGAGAGACAGAGAGUAGUUUUCUUGACUCCCAUAUUGCACUUCUAUAGAUUGAAUUGCUUGUUCUGAAGGUCCUAAUAAUAAACAAGGAGCACACUUAAAAUGAAAGGGGAUAACAACCAUGUUGUAAUAUGAAACAUAAAUCUUAAAGCAUGUUUGUAAGAGUUGUUACCCCAUUAAUACACAGAAAAAAUUUUUUAUUUAUAAAUUAGUCUCUAAUGGAUUUCUUGCUAGGCCUGUGGACUUCUUCCAUGUUCUCCUCCACAAUUUUUAUUUCAUAUUACCUUUAUUUUCCUGUUCCAAGCCCUGUGUUCCCUUCUCAUACCUUCCAGUCCAAUCUGACUUUUACUUCGCUGGGACCUGGGAAUGGGGGAAGGACUACUCUGCAUUAUGUGCUGAAUUUUGCGUGGGAGUGCUUCCUACAACACUGCAGACACUGAGAAGAACCAGCUUAAAAUCAGAAUUGUUGGUGUUUACAGACAUGAAGUCAUUGUAGGCCCUUCUCUGGAAAGGCUGAUGGUGUGAGGAGGCAACAAAGUGCAUUCCAGGCAGCACUGCACUGCAGCAGCACACCCCUCUUUGGAAUGUUAUUCCCUCAAGACUCCCAUGGCACAGAGAGAUGGCGACAAAGCAGCAUCAAGCAAUUGCCUCCUGGCUAGCGUUCUCAGCAAACUCUCAUGACUAUUGACUCAAAUGAGCAGCCCAGCAACAGGGAAAGAGGCCAUUCGAUUCACAGAUUAUCAUGUGGAUCCCAAGACAAGCAUGACCGUGUUGACCAAAAGGAGAAGCCUGCAGCUUCCAGCUUUGCCCACCUUGCCCAGCCUGCAGUAUCAAUAAAAAGCACAAAGGUGACUUUGUGGGCUGUCCAACAGCCUGGACCAUAGAAACACUCAGAGAUGGGUCAAGAAGAGCAACAUUCACUGAUCUGAAUGUCUUUCCAAAUGUGGGUGUCAGAUCCUCUAUCGUGGGACACCACAUCCAGCCAUAGAGAACUUGCAGCAGCAGAAAAGUCCAUUGAUCCUGUCCACCUAGUAGGAAGGACAACUGAAAUUCUACUGGGUUAGGAUGGACAGAUUCCAUUGUGUUACUCUGGACGCACCCACACUGCUGACCAGGAAAAAGAAGCAUAGGCAUUUACACCAUUUCAUCAUACAAAACCACAUCCUCUUGGCCAGCUGUUUUACACAGAUCAGUUUGGGAAGGAUGCACUGGACACAGAUCUUACCUAAUGUGCCAGACUAUGAACUAAGUGGACCUUGGUCUGAGUCUAUUUGACGUCAUGGAGAAGGCUUGUUCUAACCUUGGAUUCAUCCAAAGUCUCUAAAAGGAGUUAUUUAAGUGGAGGUAAGCAAAACAACAAAGGGCACCUGCUUUCCCAUGUGUGUGUGUAUCCACAGACAAAAGAGGGAAGGGCAUGUGUCUGGACAGAAAUAUAUUCCCCUGUCUGACUUGAAAUCAAAGUGUGGAAUCCACUGCUAUUCAGAAAUAUAUUUUGAGUGAAUUUUUAAAAAGGGUUGGAUGAGUUCAUUGCUAUUUGUUGCAGCUACCCUCAAAUAAAUAUGUGACUAUCCUCUUUUCCAGCUUCAAAAUUAUAUAACUGAGAGCAAAGUUUGGCUAUCUAAAAGUAAUUAAAUGCAAUGCUUGAUUCUCAACAGCAACCUUUUUGCCUGAAGAGGUCAGGAAGGAAAUAUUUUCCCACGCUAAUGGGUAACCUCAGUUGCAUUUUUCAGCAGCUGUUAUGCUCUUGAAGUACUUGUUCGUUACCACUGGAGACACAAUGUGCCAAUGCCCAGUUCUGUGUUCCAGAGGUUUAUGAGUUAGGAGAAAUGUUUCACACUCAAGAGAAAAGAGAACAGUUGUCCCCUUCCAUUCUUAAGGUAUAGUUUUGUCAUAUCGUAAGAUGUCUGUCUGGUCUUUUGUCCCACUUACAGUUUCAUUCAUUCAAGUGUAAUUGUUAAGGUAAGCCCUGUGUCUGGUAUGUACUUGUCAAAACCCAGGCGAAUACAGAAGCAAAACAUAGCAUUGGUAAUGGUGGCUCUCCUGUGUGUGUUGGUACUCCUUGAGUACACCUCUGCUUAAUGAGAAAGCACAGGUUUUCUGACAAGCAAGAACAACAAAUAAUAAUAAUAAAAAAAGUUGCUAUCCUGUCAAAUACUGUGUGCAUAUCAAGGAUCUGGAAUACAAAGCAGGCUUAACAGCAAUCACAUUUUGAGUAGAAUUCGCUUGAAUGUAACACCUUCUCCCUCUAAGGUUUUGAAUGUGGUAUCUUAAAGAAGAUCACACAAAUUACUCAUUCCGGGAACAAAGGCUCUUUUUUGAAAGCUGUCAGCUUGCUGACAGUUAUGAUGAGCAUUUACUUCAGGCUUGUAAAACAUAUUAAUCAAACUUGUUCCUAUAGCUUCAGUCCAAGGAGGGUUACUGUUUCUUUUAGAGAAAUGUUUUACAUAAGCGAAGAGCUCUGAAUCUGUAUACACCUCAAAUGCAAACUGCUUUCUAUGCCAUUCAUUUAUUCAAUGAAUAAAUACUAGUCUACACCAGGAUUAAGGAGAAGUGAAGCAGUGUAUGGAAAUCUGUUUAUUACAAGACUAUUUGCCAAAGACCUAUGCACCAUUCAUUGAACCCUGAAAAACAUUUGAAAAUAUGGGUUACAUUUGCAAACUUCAAUGUAUGACAUGGAGAUCUGGCAGACUGCCUGGUUUCUACUUUAAGGAUUGUCAUUCUGGGAAAAAUAAAUUUCUCUAACUAGACAAAAGUCAAUGUUUUCAUGUUUUACUGCAAUCAAACUGAUACGGUUGACAAUUUAAUGUCUCAACACUUAAAAUAUCUGUGGAUAAUCAGUUAUCUCAAUCAAUCAUAUCUACAAGAUUUCUCUAUUUUCAAAGCCUGUAUACAUAUGACAGAGAUAUCUAACAGUUUAUAGAAGUUUAUAGAAACCUUCCCUUCCUUAAUGCUUCAUGAUUUCUCUUCAACUAUGCAGUUCUUCUUCUUUUUUUAUUUUUAUUUUUUCCUUUUCUUUUUCUCUCCAUAUGCAAGACUUUAUAAUUGCUGGAAAAAAAAAAAAUAAAAAAAUCCAACCCUGCACUGUAAUCAGAUUUUGAAACCUUUGUGUUAAUGUCCUGUUUUAUUUAAUUUUAUGUAUAUUUUAUAGUCUGCUUGCCUGUCAGAAAGAUGUGGAAAUGUGCUGGCAUUCCAGCUGAAGACAUCAUUAUGAGUGAGAAAAUGCUCAAGGCUUUUUCAAAGUGGGUGCUGAAACAUACGUUUCUCUUCUUUGACUCCAGGGGAUGCUAACAGCUGCCCCAGCAGACAGGUACCGCAAGGUCAAAGGGUAGCAGAGCUGUGCACCUUCAGGAUUUGACUGCCAGCAAAGUAGAUGGGUAGUUUCUCCAAACCAAUAAUAAAAAUAGCAACAAUGAUGAGAAGAAGAAGGAACUGACAACAAAAAUGAAAAGAAACCUGCAGGAAGUGAAUUCUGGGUAGCACAAUGCUUGGCAGAGCUGAUUUUAAUAUCUGACAGGUUGAGUUCACUAAUCUUUGCUAUUCAUAUUGACGUGAAACUUCAUACAGUUUUAGAGAUUUGUAUCUAUUAAGACAUGCAGCAGUGUUCCUACAACAUGGGAACAAGUUUGCUAGCGCCUACUGUUCUUCUUCUUCCCUGAUAAAAAUUGAUAUGAACUGCUUUAAAUGCCUAACAGAUAAUUACUCUGAACACUCAAUAAAGAAAGCUGCAUCUUUAGGGCCUCCUUUAUCUUUAAAAAAUAAUACAAAAAAACAAACCCCAGACCCACCAACAAGACAAAACAACAUUCUUCCCUCCGUCUUCUCCCCCCACUCUUUUGUUUCUUUGAUUACUUGGAGCCUUGUAAUCAAACUAAGCUUAGUUUCAGGACCCUUGGGGCAGUAUCUCUUAGUUCCCUGUCAGACUGCGUUGCAAAACAAUCAAUCUUGCUCUUGCACUCACUUGGCGGAAGUGCCGCGACACGAAGAGCGCAGUGCUUUGCUCUUGCUGUGAAGCUUCGAUGACAAAAGUUUUUAUCAGAAGCUGACUGUAUUUAGGGUUAUGAAUAUGCAAUGACUCUCAUUAGUAUUGAAGCGCAGGAGCACAGGCUGACAUCCCCCGCCACUUUUAGCUGCUGCAGAAUCGUCUAAUGAAUUGUCUUGCUCUUUCACUUGCACAGGCACUGCUGUUAUGGCUCCCUGUUCCAAGGGGAGUUGCCCAGUUUGAGAAUACUGUUGACUGCAGAAAUUAAUUGCCAGGAACUGCUCUUGAUUUUGUUAAACAAUGUUGAGACAGUGUUAAAAUUGCCAGAACAGAAAACCAUUAAACUAUGCACUAGACAGAACCAUCAUGAGUGAAGGAACAUGCAUGUCCAUGUGCCAGGUGUGCCACAGCUUUGCGUGCAGCCUUGUGGUCACACCUGCACACAUGAAGAUGUCUGUGUGCCAUAGGAGGGUCUCAGAGUCCUGGCUUCACACUGAUUAAUUUAUUGUUCUCCCAGCUAGAACAAAUGAGGACAAGGCAGCGUUCUCCAAAUAAGCAGGAUUCCAAUACAUUGCUGUUUGAUCAACCUGUUAGUACUCCUUCCUUUUCCUCUGGGACCCUGCUAAACAUUUCUCAGUUCACACAUCUGCAGUCUUUUUAUGAAUAAAGCACUGAUAAGAAUGUUGCCAACAAAUGAUUAAGAUAUCUGGCUUGAUUUGUAGUAUUUGAGGAGAUGUGAAAGCUUUCAGAAACAUGUGGAAAUGCCCCUUUUUCCCAAUUGGUUAAAUUAAGUUUUCUUUUUUUUUUUUUUUUUUCCCCCCCCCCCCCCCCCCAAUUCAUCUGAAAUUUCUCCUGACAUGAAAGGAGCUUUUGUGGCUCUCUGCAGAUUGUUAAGGAUGGAGUGAAUUGAAACAGAUAAUAUAUUCCAAGAAGCGUAAGUAGCAUUCUGAAAGGUGUGUGCAUACUGCAAAUAAUGAAGGAUAUGAGGUUCUCCCAAGAAGAUGUCAGCCCUGUGCAGCUCUUUAUCCAUUCAAUCAGUAAUGGAAAUAGUCCCAGUGCAAGCAGGAGGAUCUGUUUAAUUUUUACUGCGAUUUUUGGCACUGCUGCUCUAAAGUGAGCUUAGGUUACCUCUUGACCCAACCCCAGGAGUGCCUGUUCUCAUCAGCUGGAGAAAAAAUAAACAUAAAAAACAUCUACAUGUUGGGAGUAUCAAAUACAAGAGCAGUUUAAAAUAAAUGCAGUUCUGACAAAAGUGGCUCAAGUAUCAUACAUCAAACACUUGUUACCUCUCUUGGCCUUAGUGAUUGCACGUGACUAAGAAAGAGUGAGUGAUAAAAUCCGAAGAAAGAUGAAACCAAUCUGGGCCUUUUUAAAGAUCAUCAAUCAUUCUGCGCAGCCAUGAUAUUAUUAGUUCCAGUAAGCCUUGUUCUCCCAUUUUAUGGACAUCAUAAACCCCCCACCCCUCUACCAAUGCUACCAUGGGAAAUCAUUUUUAUGGGCAGCAUCUUAGCAUGGGCCAAUCAGAUCUAAUCACAUAACAAGCUACUGAAUUAUUCAACGUUCUCCCUAAUUCUGCAUUCUUCCUGCACUUUGCUGUCACUGCAGGGUUUUAAAAGUAUGUGUUUUUACAAUAUUUAUUAAGAAGAUAACUGUACACAGGAAUUUUGCUUUCUCGAUGUCUUUCAAUAAUUGUUUGUUCCCUUAGAUGGUUGUACUAUAUGCGCUACUGUAUAGAGAAUAUUUUCUCAGAAAAGAACAACUAUUCAUAAUGUGGCAUUCGGCUCUAAACUCUUUCGGCUUUUAAAAUACUGAGCGUAAGGACAAUAGUGAAACAAUUGUGUUCAAACAUAAAAUAUUCAGAUUUACAGAGCAAACUGUAACCAGCAUGUCUCUUAGCUGUUGCUAUGAAUACAGGGCUUACAUUGUAUAUGAAAAUAUUUCAGUUUUAAUUGCAAAUCUGUGCAGAGAUGAUUUGGGGUCUGUAAUUAGCACAUAAAUUCCAGACUUCGUGACUGCUGUGAAAAUGCACAUUAUUUAUGGAACGAUUAUCUAAACAUAAUUCAGUGUUUUUUUGCUUUCAACAACUACUGUAAAAGUCUGAUUUAAUAAAAUGUGAAAAAUUUC